UACGAAGGGGGCUAGCGUUGCUCGGAAUCACUGGGCGUAAAGGGCGCGUAGGCGGAUCUUUAAGUCGGGGGUGAAAGCCUGUGGCUCAACCACAGAAUUGCCUUCGAUACUGGGGAUCUCGAGACCGGAAGAGGUGAGUGGAACUGCGAGUGUAGAGGUGAAAUUCGUAGAUAUUCGGCGGAACACCAGUGGCGAAGGCGACUCACUGGCCCGAUACUGACGCUGAGGCGCGAAAGCGUGGGGAGCAAACAGG
rnacentral:rRNA from 1 species